rnacentral:tRNA from 1 species
GCCAUGGCUUAGCGGCAGAGUAUCUACUUUGCAUUCAGAAGGUCCUGGGUUCAAUUCCUGGUAUCUCUA